GACGAACGCUGGCGGCGUGCUUAACACAUGCAAGUCGAACGGAAAGGCCCUGCUUUUGUUGGUUUCUCGAGUGGCGAACGCGUGAGUAACACGUGAGUAACCUGCCCUUGACUUUGGGAUAACUUCAGGAAACUGCGGCUAAUACCGGAUAGGAGCUCCUGCUGCAUGGUGGGGGUUGGAAAGUUUCGGCGGUUCGGGAUGGACUCGCGGCUUAUCAGCUUGUUGGUGGGGUAGUUGCUUACCAAGGCUUUGACGGGUAGCCGGCCUGAGAGGGUGACCGGGCACAUUGGGACUGAGAUACGGCCCAGACUGCUACGGGAGGCAGCAGGGGGGAAUAUUGCACAAUGGGCGGAAGCCUGAUGCAGCAACGCCGCGUGCGGGAUGACGGCCUUCGGGUUGUAAACCGCUUUCGCCUGUGACGAAGCGUGAGUGACGGUAAUGGGUAAAGAAGCAACGGCUAACUACGUG
rnacentral:rRNA from 1 species